UUGAUCAAAAGCGCUGAGAUCGGUGAAAGUCAAAGAUGGCGUCCAAACGCCAAACAAAUUCAAACACCAUUACAUUUUGCAAAAUUAUUCAUUCCAAUUCCAACACUGGUUAUUUAUUUCAAUAUUAUGCAUACAAUUUAUUUUGAAUAUAACUUUGGAAUUUUUUAAUGAACGAUCUUAUUUCUUGUGAUGUGUAGGUAAGAAGACCUUCUAAGAUUGGAUAUACUAAUGGAAGGAAUUGUAUGUGUUCUUCCAGUCAGCAAAAGAAAUAAUCUUAUCGAAGGUAAUUGACGGGAGAUUUGAAACUAUUUCUCAAAAGAUCAAUAAAACUUCUAGAAAAAGCAACAAGAAAUUCGAAAAUGUUGCUAAAAGAUUUGACCUGACUUCUCAAGUAAUUAAAGAAGUUUCUAGAACAGCCGAUAAGAUACAGAAAAGUGUAGACGACAAUAAAGAAAUGCUAGAAGAGAAGAUCACGAAGAUGAUCCCCAACUGGAUGGAUUGACUAAAUUACAGGAAUAUGCAUGUGUUAACAGAAAUGACUAGAAACAGAUCUUUGGAGACAAACAAUACACUGCAUGACAAUAACUAUUCCACUCCUUCCAGGGGAGUUAAGACUGAAGAGAGAGAUGCAAGGAGUUUGCAGUACCAGGAUGUUAUGGAGAGGAAAUGGUUGAGCCAGAAUUGAAGAAGUGUCGAUGCAGCCCUUUCUGAAGCUGAUGUAGCCUUGAGGUUCAUGGAAAGUCAUAGGAGUUCUUCAACAUUUCACACAGAUUCUUCACCUCCAGAAAUGCUUCAUUCCAAAUGAUUAUAUGCCCAACAACUGAUUUGUACUAACAUUUUGCAAACGUUAAUGCUGUAGAAAAUAUCUGUAAAUAAAGGUUUAUAUGUUA
rnacentral:lncRNA from 1 species